UUCUUAUUGGAUGAUGGCUGUCAUGUGUCAUGUUCUGAUUGAAUGUCAACUCCAUGAAAGAUGAAAUGCAUUGUUGUUUUCAUUGACCAAUCAGAACAUGGCACGUGACAGUCAACAUCA
rfam:Glycine max cultivar Williams 82 chromosome 13, whole genome shotgun sequence.